GCAGUGCUUUGCCAGCACCGCUGUGCAAUUCAGGUGAGAGAGGCAUGGUGGGGGCACAGCAAUGGGGGGGGAGAAGGCAUAUUUGUUUCAUCUCGAGCAGAGAAAUGAGCCGUGCUGCCCCUACUGAGUGCCCUGAAAGAUGUAGCACUUGAAACAUAGGCAAUUCAUUCAGCCCUUUGAAAGAAGUGAAGACCUACAAGGUGAAGAUUCCCCACCAAAACUCCCAAGCUGCAGCAGCGCCUGGCUGUUUCCCCCUCUGAUUUGCUGAAGUUUUCACUCUCAACACUCUAGUGCUGCAGGACACACCUCCCUUGCUGAAAGAAUUCAGAAAGAAACUAACCCAUUGCAGCACAACUCUCCCCCACUUCCAUCAAGCUGUAGGGAUGCAGGUGGCGCUGUGGUCUAAACCACUGAGCCUCUUGGGCUUGCCAAUCACUAGGUCAGCAGUUUGAAUCCCUGCGACUGAGUGAGCUCCUGUUGCUCUGUCCCAGCGCCUGCCAACCUAGCAGUUCGAAAGCAUACCAGUGCAAGUAGAUAAAUAGGUACCACUGUGGCGGGAAGGUAAACAGUGUUUCCGUGCACUCUGGUUUCCAUCACAGUGUUCUGUUGCUCCAGAAGCAGUUUAAUCAUGCUGGCCACAUGACCCGGAAAGCUGUCCGUGGACAAAUGCCGGCUCCCUUGGCCUGAAGGCAGAAAUGAGCGCCGCACCCCAUAGUCGAAUUCGACUGGACUUAACCAUCCAGGGGUCUUUUACCCUUACCUUACCAGCAAGUUGUCCCCCCUCUUUCUAACACUUGCUUAAGACAGAAUAUGAUUGGGAUAUGGCUGGUGCUAGUGGUGGUAGCUUUCUGUUUCCCAAAAGGCAUCUGGUUGGCCCCUGGGAGAACAUGAGGACUGGAUGGGUCACUGGCUAGCUCUAGCAGGCUCUUCAUUUGUUCUUUAUACAACAGUAUUACCCCCCAAGGCUUUUUUUCAGCCAGAACCUGCCAGAACUCAGUUCUAGAAAAAUAGCACUGAUUAGCCCCCCUGCCCAAAGAUCCAUAGUUUUGGGAACCACAUUUAUUUUUAAGUCAUGUUCAUAUUACACCCUCCCACUCCCAUGUUUCCCGCUAUUGAUUCCCGUAGCAUAAAUGGGAAAGUUCCUCUAAUAUACUUCCGUAAUUAUGUGAAUUAUAAUCUGCAAAGAACUCUGCAGUCGUCACUUUUUGCGGGGGUGGGGAAAUUGCAGGAGGGGAGGGGUGAUAAGCUGUACAUAUACACACACAAAGCGCGAGAGGCAGUCCCAGCGUUCUCUUCCCAGGUCUUCACGCUCUUAACUUCAGGCUGGUCUUACUUUCAGCCUGGCAGUACGGUCCCGUAGCUACACAGAUCCCAAUGUGUGCCACACAGGUCAGAGGUCCUUUCCGAAUUGGCGGGACCUCAUAGCAAGCAGUCUUUGAAGCUGGGCUGUAAAAUUUUAGAAGCUCCAAUAUGCUCAACGGGUGUGAAACUGUCAGAAAUUUGGGGGCUCAACACUCAAACACGUACACUUCACUCCCUGUCUCUCUCUCUACACACAUACACACACACACACACACACAGAGAGAGAGAGAGAGAGAGAGAGAGAGAGAGCCUGUUUACCCAGAUGUACAACCUCUUCCCUUCAGGGCUGGAGAAUUAUGCCUCAAAUAUGUUGCACAAAUGAAUAAUAAAAACAAAAGAAAAUGACCCUCUUUAUGGAAACUCAUUUUAUGAAUAAAACAAUUAUUCUGGUAAUUGAAAAAAUGUGUCGUUAAAUUAAAUGCAGUGGUUCCUAUUAAAAUUUUAGUGGGUUUCUUUUCUUUCUUCCCCACCCACCCCUUCUCUCUCUCCCCCCUUCCCUCCCUUUCCCCUCCCUGCCGCUGCUGGCGGUGAAGGGUUGGCAAUUAGAGCAGAGGGUUUCGUUUUUCUCUUUAUUGUUUUUUAAUCUCGCUUCGUGCCGUGCAGCUCCAGUGAUAUUUUGAUGUCAAUGAGAUUUAGAACAAUAUCCCUGGUGUUGGGAGGGGGAAAGAGGGAAAGAUGGGGAGGGAAUGAGAGGAAAAACAGCUGCUCUUUUCCUGGGCAUGCAGGGGCAAUGUGUGACCAUUGCCGCUUCUGCUCCUGGGCAGUAAGGCAGCCAUAUUCACAUGGUCUGAACAAGCUCUGAGCCAAAGAAAACCCGUCUUGAUUCAGUGGGUGAAGCGUAUCACUCUGCCCCUUAGAAACCAAAGGGGCUCCGCAAAAGGGCUCCACUGUUGGCUGGAGAGUGUCCUUGGUUUCCCAUUUCCGUUUCAAAAUAGGAAGUGCAGGAAGCGGCAGCACGAUUCUGCAAGCCCGAUGGCUUUGACGUGGCAGGGCUGCCAGCUGCCAUAGGGUAGCUCUCACUUUCUGAUGGAAACCAUAUCUGAGUAGAUGCAAUAACGGAGGAGGAUGGGAGAUGGAGAGGUAUGUUUAUGAGGAAUCGCUGAGAGAAGAAGAAAGAAUAGGGCAGACCCCUGUUUUGAGGGGCUGGCCAUGCCAGACAUUGGGAGGUUGGAAGAGUGGGAAGAACUGAGGUUAGAGGAACAUAGGAAAUGCUUCACCACUGAGCCGCAGCCCUUCCCCGUGAUAAUGUGUUGGGGCAUAAGAACAUAAGAAGUGCUUGCUGGAUCAGGCUAGUGGCCCACCAACAUUUGGCUCUCACAGUGGCCAGCCAGAUGUCUGCAAGCAGGACCUGAGUGCUAAAGCACUCUUUCCUUCUGUGGUUUCAAGCAGCUUGUACACAGAAGCUUUGCUGUCUCCCAACAGUCGAGGUAACCAUCAUAGCUAGUUGCCGCCUUAUCUUCCGUGAAUGUAUCCAGUCCUCUUUUGAAGCCAUCCAAGUUGGCAACCACCAGUGCUUCUUGUGAGUCUGAAUUCCAUAGUUUAACUAUGAUCUAUGUGAAUACGUGAUUUUCUUUGCGGAGUUGAAGGAGACCCUGAGGACCAGUCCAACUCCCUGAAAUGCAGGAAUAUGCCGCUGUCCCAGAUCCCAGCGUCCCUGGCGUCAUCAGCACCACGCUCUAACCAACUGAGCUAUAUUCCAACUCUCAGCUUCAGUGGAUGUCCCGGAGUUUGUACUGUUAGGACUGAGCCCCUAAAUUCAGCCCACCC
rnacentral:lncRNA from 1 species